ACUACAAAAUGUACAUGUCAUGGUCCCACUGUCCUUGAAGUUAAGCUCACCUUGACCUUUAACGUCUUUAUAUCUAUGGCAUGUAUUCUAGGUAAACAUUGUUACCUGGACUUUUAGAGGAACAUGAGAGAAGAAAUUACAGAAAUAAUAUAUGCUAGCAAAAAGAUGUGUUUUUUGUCCAUAGAAUAUUCAUCAUGGACCUUUGAACAUUUCUUCUCACAGUGUGUAUAUCUUGAAUAUACACUGAAGACUCAAAGGUUGCCUGAUACAGUACUGAGAAUGGAUGAAAAUUUGUGUGCUUAUUCAGUGUAUUCAAUCAUGAUAUGAAUUUUCAUUCUGGAGUGGCAAGACUCAAGUUCUCCUACAUUUCUGACAGGUUUCAUCACAAAGACUGAGAUAGAAUCAGGUGCUCCAGGAAGUGAAGAGCUGGACAUAUGUUGUGGCUAAAGAACAGUUUCUGAGUUAGAGAACAUAUCUGCUUGAAGUAUUCUUGUGAAGAGUGGACACAGAGAUAAUGCUAUUCUACCUAUGCAUGUAUGUCAGGACCUGAUGACUCAGACAGAAAUAUAACAUUUUCCUUUUUCAUGGUAUAUACUUAAUGUCAGAACAUGAAUACUUUUUAUUAGAAGAAUUAAACAGCAUGUUUCAAAGAAGUAUGUGGAAUAACAAAUUAUUUCCUCAAGGGAUUCACCCAGUACAAGGAGCCCUGGUUGUCAGAGACAUGCAUAGUUGCAUAACUUUUAAUUUCAAUGGAAAUUAUUCCCUAAGCAUAACAGGGAGAGAUGUGGAUCUUGCCUUCCUAAUGCAUCCUUGAGUAGUGAAAUACUAGAAGUAGAAAUUAGAAGGUAUGAGUUAAAAUAAAGAAAUUCUACUGCAAAUAUACACCCCCUAAAGCUUGUAUUUUUAAACAUUGUAGUCUGUCUAUACCACCUGGUAAUUGAUUUAAUAAUCCAUUUUCAUACAAGCAAAAAAAGAAGUAUGAGGUGACUAGCUACUUUAGCAAAUGACUAUAACAUCAAACUUACAGUUUGAGCUAGUUGUAGCUACAGUAUAAUGCAACUAUUGUUCUAUAUAAUUCCAUUAAGACAUUACUCACUGCAUUAGACCAUUACUAUCAUUAGUUGCCUCUGCCAAGCCAAUGUUGUCAUAUCAGUUUGAGUUUGUCCUAGAGUUAGGAAAUCCAUAAUAAUCCAUAAUAUCCAUAACACCUUCAAAUGUAAUUGAAUGAAUUGUAUUGAAUUUUCAUGUGUUGUGAAAGACACAGAAGUAUGCUGAGAUUCUAAUUUUCAGGGAUCUGUUGUUUUUGUACAGAAUUUUGCCCUUUGAGUGUAUCUUGAAAGAUAUUUUCCAGGGAAAUUAGUCUUCUGCACAAUAGGAACACAGCUCAGUAUCUCUCCAGCACUCAGUGAUGUGUAUCCAAAUCUCUGUAAAACUCAUUCUGUACAGUCACUGAUGUAUUUGCAGUUCUCUACAGCAGCUGCUGACAGAUAACCAGUUAUUUCACUAUGAAACCUAUAAUAACUGUUUCUUUCCCAGUGAAACUUUGUCAAAACUGGUACCUAGAUACUGUGAUUGCUGCUGUACAAAUAGCUAUAACUGAUAAAGAAAACUAGCCUAAGCACUAUGCUACUUCUUCUGUAGAAGCAUGUGUACACAAAUGGCUAAAAAUCCUGAUAGUUUCUCACAUUUACAUGUGGGUUUUUUGUUUGUUUGUUUGCUUGCUUGCUUUUUAAUCCUCAGUAGUGUUACAUUUACACUGUCUUACAUUUCAAUCUGUCUUUGCUGUUCUAAUCCCACAUGACUCUUCUCUAAAAGGCAGCAUAAUUUUAAAGAUUUUUAAGUAUAAAUAUAAACGAUGUUGUAUGCAUGUAUAAAUAAUUUUAAAAUUAUGUACUUUUCUGACUGAGAUGCAGAGUGCUACCAUGCAAAUCCAUAGUAAUGAGAAGGAGGGCUCUCACCUUCUUAUCUCUUGUCACUCUUCUCCAUUCUUUUCCCCCAAAUAAAUCAAAUACAAC
rnacentral:lncRNA from 7 species